GCAUGUUUGUGGGUGGAAAGUUUUUCGGCUUGGGAUGGGCUCGCGGCCUAUCAGCUUGUUGGUGGGGUGAUGGCCUACUAAGGCGACGACGGGUAGCCGGCCUGAGAGGGCGACCGGCCACACUGGGACUGAGACACGGCCCAGACUCCUACGGGAGGCAGCAGUGGGGAAUAUUGCACAAUGGGCGGAAGCCUGAUGCAGCGACGCCGCGUGAGGGAUGACGGCCUUCGGGUUGUAAACCUCCUUCAGCAGGGACGAAGCGUGAGUGACGGUACCUGCAGAAGAAGCGCCGGCCAACUACGUGCCAGCAGCCGCGGUAAGACGUAGGGCGCGAGCGUUGUCCGGAUUUAUUGGGCGUAAAGAGCUCGUAGGCGGCUUGUCGCGUCGACUGUGAAAACCCGUGGCUCAACUGCGGGCCUGCAGUCGAUACGGGCAGGCUAGAGUUCGGUAGGGGAGACUGGAAUUCCUGGUGUAGCGGUGGAAUGCGCAGAUAUCAGGAGGAACACCGGUGGCGAAGGCGGGUCUCUGGGCCGAUACUGACGCUGAGGAGCGAAAGCGUGGGGAGCGAACAGGUUUAGAUACCCUGGUAGUCCACGCUGUAAACGUUGGGCGCUAGGUGUGGGGGGCCUCUCCGGUUCUCUGUGCCGCAGCUAACGCAUUAAGCGCCCCGCCUGGGGAGUACGGCCGCAAGGCUAAAACUCAAAGGAAUUGACGGGGGCCUGCACAAGCGGCGGAGCAUGCGGAUUAAUUCGAUGCAACGCGAAGAACCUUACCUGGGUUUGACAUCGCCGGAAAUCCUGCAGAGAUGUGGGGUCCUUCGGGGCCGGUGACAGGUGGUGCAUGGCUGUCGUCAGCUCGUGUCGUGAGAUGCUGGGUUAAGUCCCGCAACGAGCGCAACCCUCGUCCCAUGUUGCCAGCAAUUC
rnacentral:rRNA from 1 species